GUGUCAGCAGCCGCGGUAAUACGAAGGGUGCAAGCGUUACUCGGAAUUACUGGGCGUAAAGCGUGCGUAGGUGGUUUGUUAAGUCUGUUGUGAAAGCCCCGGGCUCAACCUGGGAAUGGCAAUGGAUACUGGCAAGCUAGAGUGCGGUAGAGGGUAGUGGAAUUCCCGGUGUAGCGGUGAAAUGCGUAGAGAUCGGGAGGAACACCAGUGGCGAAGGCGGCUACCUGGACCAGCACUGACACUGAGGCACGAAAGCGUGGGGAGCAAACAGGAUUAGAUACCCUAGUAGUCC
rnacentral:rRNA from 1 species